rnacentral:rRNA from 1 species
AACGGGUGGAGCUGACUGGUACUAAUAGGCCGAGGGCUUGUCCUCAGUUG